rnacentral:rRNA from 1 species
AGCAGCCGCGGUAAUUCCAGCUCCAAUAGCGUAUAUUAAAGUUGUUGCAGUUAAAAAGCUCGUAGUUGAAUUUCGAGAUCAAAUUGUUGGUCGUGCCUCGGUACGUACUGGCAUUAUUGAUUUCUCCUUUCUGAAGAACCUUGAUGUCAUUAAUUUGGUGUCUUGGGGAAUCAGGACCGUUACUUUGAAAAAUUAGAGUGUUUAAAGCAGGCUCACGCUUGAAUACAUUAGCAUGGAAUAAUGAAAUAGGACGUUUGAUUCUAUUUUGUUGGUUUCUAGGAUCGACGUAAUGAUUAAUAGGGAUAGUUGGGGGCAUUAGUAUUCAAUUGUCAGAGGUGAAAUUCUUGGAUUUAUUGAAGACUAACUACUGCGAAAGCAUUUGCCAAGGAUGUUUUCAUUAAUCAAGAACGAAAGUUAGGGGAUCGAAGACGAUCAGAUACCGUCGUAGUC